GUGAAUCAUCGAGUCUUUGAACGCAUCUUGCGCCCGGUGGUAUUCCGCCGAGCAUGCCUGUCUGAGUGUCAUUACUAUCUCAACCCUAGCGAUGUUGUCAUGACGUUGCUCAGCGGAUUGGAACAUGGACCCGGCAGGGUUUACCCUACCGGUCUUAAAUGGAGUAGGCUAGCCGACUAUCAGCGGUUUGACCGGGUGUUGUAGAGUUCGCCGUCACUCGGGACGCUGAUCGGAUUAGUUGAAUUGUAAUUGUAUUACUCGAACGUAUUUAGACCUCAGAUCAGGUAGGAUUACCCGCUGAACUUAAGCAUAUCAAUAAGGCGAGG
rnacentral:rRNA from 1 species